rfam:Gossypium hirsutum cultivar TM-1 chromosome 8, whole genome shotgun sequence
CCUGUGGGAGCGCUUUGUCCACGUCAGCAAAAAACGCAUCCUUAAGGGCGCGCUUUGCUGACGUGGACAAAGCGCUCCUCCAGGG